AGUGCAGUCUCGCGGUCCGGUCUCCUGUUUGUCCAGUGACUCGAGACUCUGCGAAGCUGCACAGAUCAGACUGAAGGAUCCAAAGGCGUUACUUCUCCAGACUGAAGUUUUACGUGCGAUAUUCUUUCGACAGAUCUUAACCUGUUUCCACGGCGGUAAUGGUUGUGUUGUACCGUUACCAAUCUAAAAACAGGCAGAGUAAAACAGCGGCAGUCAGAUAUUGUCUGGCAGGAGGAGCGCGCCUUUCAGACACUUCGAAUUGCCACAGUU
ensembl:scaRNA